rnacentral:lncRNA from 1 species
CCUUCCCUUCAACGACCUCACACUCUGCUUCAACACUUAAAUGCUCAUACCUCACCUCUAUGUUCGGAAACGCUACACCAACCCUGCAUGUAAGAAACUUCAGUUAAAGCCACAAGUUCAAGAUUCACAAGGUUUGUUUCCUGAUCUCAUCUUUCACCUGUCCAUUCUUUUUCUAAUCUUCUUGAGCAGCUUGAGAUUAUCAUUCUCAAUGUGUUUGAUCAGAUUCUCAAUCAUUAGAUGACGUUCCAUGGCUCCAAGCUUGGUGACAUCAGCCACCUUUUUCCCUUUCUUCACAGCCUCACCAUCUUCAUCGACCAGAGAUGAUCUCAGCCGUUUGAAAGUGGGUAACCUCUGGAUCUCAGCCCAUUGCAGAGCAUGCUCAGCCU